AACGAACGCUGGCGGCGUGCUUAACACAUGCAAGUCGAGCGGUAAGGCCCUUUCGGGGGUACACGAGCGGCGAACGGGUGAGUAACACGUGGGUGACCUGCCCUCAGCUCUGGGAUAAGCCUGGGAAACCGGGUCUAAUACUGGAUAUGACUCCAUGACGCAUGUUGUGGGGUGGAAAGCCUUGUGCGGCUGAGGAUGGGCCCGCGGCCUAUCAGCUUGUUGGUGGGGUGANGGCCUACCAAGGCGACGACGGGUAGCCGGCCUGAGAGGGCGACCGGCCACACUGGGACUGAGACACGGCCCAGACUCCUACGGGAGGCAGCAGUGGGGAAUCUUGCGCAAUGGGCGAAAGCCUGACGCAGCGACGCCGCGUGAGGGAUGACGGCCUGGUGUAAC
rnacentral:rRNA from 1 species